rnacentral:tRNA from 1 species
GCGGAUGUAGCUCAAUGGCAGAGUUGAAGAUUUCCAUUCUUAAGACGUGGGUUCGAUUCCCAUCAUCCGCU